rnacentral:rRNA from 1 species
AGUGAACGCUGGCGGUAGGCCUAACACAUGCAAGUCGAACGGCAGCACAGUAAGAGCUUGCUCUUACGGGUGGCGAGUGGCGGACGGGUGAGGAAUACAUCGGAAUCUACUUUUUCGUGGGGGAUAACGUAGGGAAACUUACGCUAAUACCGCAUACGACCUACGGGUGAAAGCAGGGGAUCUUCGGACCUUGCGCGAUUGAAUGAGCCGAUGUCGGAUUAGCUAGUUGGCGGGGUAAAGGCCCACCAAGGCGACGAUCCGUAGCUGGUCUGAGAGGAUGAUCAGCCACACUGGAACUGAGACACGGUCCAGACUCCUACGGGAGGCAGCAGUGGGGAAUAUUGGACAAUGGGCGCAAGCCUGAUCCAGCCAUACCGCGUGGGUGAAGAAGGCCUUCGGGUUGUAAAGCCCUUUUGUUGGGAAAGAAAAGCAGCAGGUUAAUACCUCGCUGUUUUGACGGUACCUAAAGAAUAAGCACCGGCUAACUUCGUG